GACGAACGCUGGCGGCGUGCUUAACACAUGCAAGUCGAACGGAAAGGCCCUGCUCUUGUGGGGUGCUCGAGUGGCGAACGGGUGAGUAACACGCGAGUAACCUGCACUUGACUUUGGGAUAAAUUCAGGAAAAUGGGGAUAUUACCGGAUAGGAGCUUCUGAUGCAUGGGGGGGGUUGGAAAGUUUCGGCGGUGGGGGAUGGACUCGCGGCUUAUCAGCUGGUUGGUGGGGUAGUGGCUUACCAAGGCUUUGACGGGUAGGCGGCCUGGGAGGGUGACCGGCCACAUUGGGACUGCGAUACGGCCCAGACUCCUACGGGAGGCAGAAGUGGGGAAUAUUGCACAAUGGGCGGAAGCCUGAUGCAGCAACGCCGCGUGCGUGAUGACGGCCUUCGGGUUGUAAACCGCUUUCGCCUGUGACGAAGCGUGAGUGACGGUAAUGGGUAAAGAAGCACCGGCUAACUACGUG
rnacentral:rRNA from 1 species